AAAGAGAGAUAUGAUAGUUACACUGAUAAUAAGAAUGGCGGUGUUAGAGCAAGUAACAUAGAUAACGAGAAAAUCGUAGUGAAUUACACAUAAGAGUCACAGCUCAGUACGUUAAAGUAUACGUAAACAGGACGAGAUAAUACUGUACAAUUUUAGAGUUUUGUUAUAUUCCUUUGAACAUUUUGACUUCGUUUGUGACUAAUUUGUGAUAAUAGAAUUAAUAUACAGUCGCAGUAUGGUCGAAAAAGGGCUUUUUUUCGCUCCGAAAUGCGCCUGCAUUCAGCAGACGAUGUUUUUUUUACCGGCAGGUGAGCAACAGGUGAGUCGCCGGGUAUCUGAGCCGCUGACCCCAAGCUCAUCUCAUUUUCGGCAACUCUAUCUGAGUGUAAUGGCUGAUGUUUAUACAAAUCCAGACAAACAUGUGGUCCUUCACAACAAUGUUAAAAUGCCUAUUCUUGGUUUAGGCACAUCACACAAUGGUGGAUAUAGUCAUUCAGCUGUUGUGUAUGCAUUAAAAGACUGUGGGUAUAGACAUAUUGAUACAGCCAAACGAUACGGUUGUGAAGCUUACAUUGCUAAAGCUGUAAAGGAAUCAGAAGUCCCUCGUGAUGAAAUCUUCUUGGCGACAAAGUGUUGGCCCACUGACUAUGGGACCAUUGCUACUCGAAAUGCCUUCAAUGGUUCCUGCGAAAGACUGGGGUCAGAUUACAUAGAUCUUUAUCUUCUGCAUUGGCCUGAUGUACCUUCAAGUGUGAGUGACAGAAACCGCCUUUUGCAAGAAACAUGGCGGACACUAGAGGUGUUGCUGGAUGAGGAACGUGUGAGAGCCAUUGGGGUCAGCAACUUCCUUGAACGACACCUUGAUGUGAUUCUUGAGGAAUGUUCCGUGGUUCCUCACAUCAACCAGUGUGAGUUCCAUCCAUUCAAUAACCCCAAGCAAUUGCGAGAAUAUUGUGCUGAAAGGAAAAUACAAUUUGAGGGUUAUUCCCCUCUAGCAAAAGGUUAUGCUCUUGCGGACUCUACGGUGAAAGCUAUUGCUAAACUUCAUAGACGGAGCCCAUCACAGGUUCUGCUAAGGUGGUCUCUGCAGAGCAGGGUUCCUGCUAUACCAAAAUCAACCAAAGUGCAGCGGGUGAUGGAAAAUGCCCAGGGUUACUGUCCGCUAGGUAAUGGACAAAUUCUCGCGGACCCAAAAAUUAAAGAAAUUGCAGAGAGGCAUAACAGAUCCCCAGCUCAGGUUCUCAUUCGCUGGAAUCUCCACAAUAGAGUUGUAUGCAUCCCAAAAUCAACCAGGGAGCACAGGGUCAAAGAGAACUCAGAGGUGUUUGAUUUUGUUCUGCACCAAAAAGACAUGGAUAGUCUCUCUAUGUUAAAUGAUGACUUCCAUGUCUCAUGGGAUCCUAAUUCAUUGCCGUGAUACUUUCUGUUUACACCCUGGCCCCUCCCCAACACUCACAUUUCCUUGCUUCAGAGAUAUUUGACUUUGCUCUCACCGACGAGGACAGUGCAAUCCUGGACAACAUGGCUCAGAAACUGACAAUCAUGGAACGCAGUACAAUACAACACAAAAUUGAUAAUCCUCUACCUGAUGGAUACAAGUUGAAGAUGGUUAAAAUACCUGCUGAGCCAUAAGCAUCAGUAUUAUGGACUUGAAACUUGAAAGGUUAAAUUCUUUUAUGUAGUAUCCUCAUUUAUCAUAAGAAAAUAACUCAUUUUCUAACUUACAUAAAAUAUAAAGUAUAAUUUGCAAAUGCAUUAAAUAAUUCAGUGAAGGAUACUUUGUGGAACAUCACCCAAUUGAACCAAAUUUAAGAUAUUAAUGUUUCAGGAUAUAUUUAUUUUUUCAUGGAAAACCAUUAAUCCAUUUCAUUAUACCACAGUCUAUGUCUGUCAAACCCAUAUAAAAAAUAUCCAGGCUUUAGUAGUCUUGGUAUUUUGAGCCAAUUCUACCAUGCAGCUCUGUUUGUGCUUACUAAAUAAUACAUGAAAGUAUGCACCAUUAAUACUUAUGGUAAUGUAUUAGCAUGACUGUGUGCAUGAGUGGUUGUAAUGGAAAGUAUGAUGGUCUGGGUGUGGGUAUGGAUGUGACUGUGUAUGUGUGCAUGAGUGCAUGCAUGUGUUUGUUCGUUUGUUUGUUAAAAUGCACACACGUGUUUGCCUGUUCUGGGACAUUUUGUUGACAAAGGAUCAUUAACAAUUUUUAUGUAUCUGCUUUAUUUGAACAUGAGGAUAUGUAACAUAUUCUGUAAUAAUGUUUCCAGUAUAUUUAUUUUUUCUCAAACAUUGUGAUAGCUAAAUUACAUAAGCCUAAACAGGUAUUUAUCUAUACUUUGGUUAAAAUUUAGGCUGAAGACAAAAGUGUGGGGUGAAAUAAGUUAGUGAGAACAACAAAGGAAUAAAAAAAAAAAGUUUGUCAUUUUUCUGACAUAGACAAGAGAAAGAACUCUUUACAUUUUAUUUUAGCAUGUUUUAUGUGAUGUAUGUAUAAAGCUUUCUUUAUUAUGCCAACUAAUGGUAAUAGACAUUAGAUAAUUAUUGUAAUAAUUUUAAUGGUGAGAAAUGUGGUAAGUAGCAAACAUUAUUUUAUUGAAUGUGAAUUUUUUAUAAUAAAAUAUUUAUCAGUAUUCA